rnacentral:rRNA from 1 species
GACGAACGCUGGCGGCGUGCCUAAUACAUGCAAGUCGAACGCAGUGGGGACGGGUGAGUAACCCGUGGGUAACCUCCCAUCAGAGGGGAUAACACUUGGAAACAGGUGCUAAACCGAUACUGAUGGAUGGACCCGCGGUGGAUUAGCGAGUUGGUGAGGUAAAUGCUCACCAAGGCCACGAUGCAUAGCCGAGCUGAGAGGGUGAUCUGCCACACUGGAGCGUAGACCCGGCCCAGACUCCUACGGGAGGCAGCAGUAGGGAAUAUUCGGCAAUGGACGAAAGGCUGACCCGGCAAAGCCGCGUGAGUGAAGAAGGGUUUCGGGUCGUAAAACUCUGUUGUUAGGGAAGCGGUAUCUAACCAAGAAGCCACGGCUAACUACGUGCCAGCCGCCGCGGUAAGUC